rnacentral:rRNA from 1 species
GACGUAGGAGGCGAGCGUUGUCCGGAUUCAUUGGGCGUAAAGAGCGCGUAGGCGCCUUCUAAGUCGAACGUGAAAUCCCCGGGCUCAACCCGGGAACUGCGUCCGAUACUGGAAGGCUUGAAUCCGGGAGAGGGAUGUGGAAUUCCAGGUGUAGCGGUGAAAUGCGUAGAUAUCUGGAGGAACACCGGUGGCGAAGGCGACAUCCUGGACCGGUAUUGACGCUGAGGCGCGAAAGCCAGGGGAGCAAAGCGGG